GAUGAACGCUGGCGGCGUGCUUAACACAUGCAAGUCGAGCGAAGCGUUUUAAAGGAAGUUUUCGGAUGGAAUUUAAAAUGACUUAGCGGCGGACGGGUGAGUAACGCGUGGGUAACCUGCCUCAUACAGGGGGAUAACAGUUAGAAAUGACUGCUAAUACCGCAUAAGCGCACAGUGCUGCAUAGCACAGUGUGAAAAACUCCGGUGGUAUGAGAUGGACCCGCGUCUGAUUAGGUAGUUGGUGAGGUAACGGCCCACCAAGCCGACGAUCAGUAGCCGACCUGAGAGGGUGACCGGCCACAUUGGGACUGAGACACGGCCCAAACUCCUACGGGAGGCAGCAGUGGGGAAUAUUGGACAAUGGGGGAAACCCUGAUCCAGCGACGCCGCGUGAGUGAAGAAGUAUUUCGGUAUGUAAAGCUUUAUCAGCAGGGAAGAAAAUGACGGUACCUGACUAAGAAGCCCCGGCUAACUACGUGCCAGCCGCCGCAGUAA
rnacentral:rRNA from 1 species